rnacentral:misc_RNA from 1 species
CAAAAAUUUCAGUUGAUAAUUCAGCAGUCAUAUAGUAAAAUAAGAAAGCUAUUGAACAAGUCCUCCGCAUGCAGCUGCGGAGCCGGUCUCGCGCAAUGGGACCCCGUGAAUCAUGUCAGGCGGGGAACCGAGCAGCAUUAAGCGGGAUGUUCCAUGUGCCGUGAGGGUGCCGGUUCCGCAGCUGCAUACGGAGGACUUUUC